UACGGGGGGGGCAAGCGUUGUUCGGAAUUACUGGGCGUAAAGGGCUCGUAGGCGGCCCACUAAGUCAGACGUGAAAUCCCUCAGCUUAACUGGGGAACUGCGUCUGAUACUGGAUGGCUUGGAUUCGGGAGAGGAAUGCGGAAUUCCAGGUGUAGCGGUGAAAUGCGUAGAUAUCUGGAGGAACACCGGUGGCGAAGGCGGCAUUCUGGACCGAUAUUGACGCUGAGGAGCGAAAGCCAGGGGAGCAGACGGG
rnacentral:rRNA from 1 species